GACGAACGCUGGCGGCGUGCCUAAUACAUGCAAGUAGAACGCUGAAGCUUGGUGCUUGCACCGAGCGGAAGAGUUGCGAACGGGUGAGUAACGCGUAGGUAACCUGCCUGGUAGCGGGGGAUAACUAUUGGAAACGAUAGCUAAUACCGCAUGAUAUUGAUUAUUGCAUGAUAGUCAAUUAAAAGGUGCAAUUGCAUCACUACCAGAUGGACCUGCGUUGUAUUAGCUAGUUGGUGAGGUAACGGCUCACCAGGGCAACGAUACAUAGCCGACCUGAGAGGGUGAUCGGCCACACUGGGACUGAGACACGGCCCAGACUCCUACGGGAGGCAGCAGUAGGGAAUCUUCGGCAAUGGACGGAAGUCUGACCGAGCAACGCCGCGUGAGUGAAGAAGGUUUUCGGAUCGUAAAGCUCUGUUGUAAGAGAAGAACGAGUGUGAGAGUGGAAAGUUCACACUGUGACGGUAUCUUACCAGAAAGGGACGGCUAACUACGUGCCAGCAGCCGCGGUAAUACGUAGGUCCCGAGCGUUGUCCGGAUUUAUUGGGCGUAAAGCGAGCGCAGGCGGUUAGAUAAGUCUGAAGUUAAAGGCUGUGGCUUAACCAUAGUACGCUUUGGAAACUGUUUAACUUGAGUGCAAGAGGGGAGAGUGGAAUUCCAUGUGUAGCGGUGAAAUGCGUAGAUAUAUGGAGGAACACCGGUGGCGAAAGCGGCUCUCUGGCUUGUAACUGACGCUGGGGCUCGAAAGCGUGGGGAGCAAACAGG
rnacentral:rRNA from 1 species